rnacentral:rRNA from 1 species
GUAGGUGGCAAGCGUUGUCCGGAAUUAUUGGGCGUAAAGCGCGCGCAGGCGGUCCUUUAAGUCUGAUGUGAGAGCCCACGGCUCAACCGUGGAGGGUCAUUGGAAACUGGGGGACUUGAGUACAGAAGAGGAAAGCGGAAUUCCAAGUGUAGCGGUGAAAUGCGUAGAGAUUUGGAGGAACACCAGUGGCGAAGGCGGCUUUCUGGUCUGUAACUGACGCUGAGGCGCGAAAGCGUGGGGAGCAAACAGGAUUAGAUACCCUGGUAGUCCACGCCGUAAACGAUGAGUGCUAAGUGUUAGGGGGGUUUCCGCCCCCCUUAGUGCUGCAGCUAACGCAUUAAGCACUCCGCCUGGGAGUACGGCCGCAAGGCUG